AUUGCAAUUGACCGCCAUCAUCAGAUCAGAGAAAAUAAUAUCAACACAAAUAAUAACGCAAUAAAUAUGGAGUUUCUAGUUAUUUAUUUUGCCUUUGACAAUGCAUUUGAAGCAGUCAAUAUGUCAAAGGUAGAAUGUGAUAAAACAGAGGCGGAAAUGGUGAAGGGAACUAAAUGCCAGGUACCUUUCGAGACCGAAAGCAUCAGUGAGGAUGGCAAAGACACUGUGGAGACAAAACUUUAUGAUGGCAUUAUUCUCUGUUCUGGACAAGAGUAUAUCAUGUACCAUUGUACGCGUGAGGGAUGGCAGCUGCCUUCUAAAGUUGAAUUUAAUACAACAAUAACCAACAAAGUUACAAACUGCAGAAGGAAACUGUUAACUCAUCCAGUGCUCAAGAAAAAAUCUUGUUGAAUUACAAUUAAUGUACAUUUGGAUAUGGACAUACACAACAAUCAACUGGAUUAUUUGCGUCAUAAUUUUUCUUUACAUAAAUUUAUACAUGUGUUGAGUGAACAUGGCUUUUAUAUACACAUGUAUUUAUAAGAUGGAAAUUUUUUAGUGUUGUCUUAAUAAUAGUGUGAUAGAAUUAUGAAUUCUAGCUAAGCUAUCCAUUCUCUUUUAAAAAAGUGGCAGGAUUCUAUUAAGUGUGUGUAUAAAAGUGAAAGAUGGGUCCUUGUACUAUUUAGCAAAGAACACAAUAACAUUUAGAUAUUUGCAUACAUGUACAUGAAUGUGCAUUAGUGGCACACAAUAUAUAUUGAAAGUAAAUACAAUGUAUAUUUGUAUAUAUGGGAUAUAGUUUAUAUGGAAAAUGUGUUUAUUGAGAAGUAUAAGUUUAAUUCUUAUUGAGGUAAGUUGCUGUAUUGCCAUGAAUAUUACUUUAUCAAGUUUCCUGCCAGCUAGCUAUCUGACUAUAAAACCCUAUUUUGAAUACAUGUAUAUAAAAAUGUAGGUUGUUAAACAUGCAUGGUGACUGGACACAUCCCCCCUUAGAAUAAAGAUCUGAUGAAAAUACUUUUUUUAUAUUGAAAGACCAUUUUUAAUUACAUAUAUAAUGGUAUAUACAUUUGUGUACUUUGUCAAACUGCUAUACAUAUAUAUUUAACAUGUUCAAUGUAACUAUUAAUUCAAUGAGCUAAAUCUUUUUCAUUAAAACAAAA